AGUUCAUACUGGAGUUCCAGCCUCCGCAGUACAGCAGCACAGAAACAGCAGUGAUGUCCUGGCCAUCUGCCAGACCAAACACAUCACCACUGCUGCUAUCAGAAUGUUCCCAGACACAGCAGAGUCAGAUGAUAAGCUGUACAGCGAGCAGUGGAAGCAAAAAGCAGACACUAAUGAGCACUAGGGUCUAAGACACAGUAAGGCAAGCAAGACCCAUGGCAAGCUCAGAAGCCUGCUAUGAAUAGCCAAACAGCAAUAACACCAAUAAGAAUAAUGCUUAAUUUGAGCUGGAAAGAGAUGCAUUAUCCUGAGAUACUCCACUGUGUAGCAGCAGAAGAGAUCCAGGACCAUUUCUCUGCAGCCAGCAACAGCCCACCUUUAUGCACAAAAGAUUUGUUCUUUGGGGAAUUUGUGCUCACUGCUUCCAGCAUGGGCAAGGCUGUCAUGCUUAUGCUUUUCAUGGCCACAAAGCCAAGAAUGGAUCUGUUUAUUCCUAUAUUAGAAACUACAUGUCCAGCUAUGAACCAGCAAGGCUUCAGGGUUCACCGCAGAUGUAAACCCAAAGAUGAAACAGCUGGAAGAAGACAUGAAGCAUUCUUGGUAUAUGUGAUCUAAGCUAGGAAAUUACUUCCAGAAGAAAUUACACAAAUAUAGGGUCCAGCUGGAUUUACAUCACAAGACAUCUAACGCACUUGGAAGAACCUAUAGUGAUCAACCCCACAGUGGCUUGCUGCAAGAGACAGAAAUGUUUACAAAUCCUACCUGCUACUACCUCCUUGCUUGUCUCAAGACACAGUAGCACUGGCCAUUGGUUCAAAACAGACAACCAAAGGAUCAUAUAAAUUACAGUGCUAUUUAACUUACUACAUCAUUUUAAGCAGCAUUUCAGAUUGUAGAACACACCCCCUGUUCUGACCAAAAAGGUCUUAUUUUUUCCUCUCAUUUAAUUUUAGACAGGUGUCUGAAAACAUUUACUUUCCAGUCCAGCUAAGAGAGCUGGCAGGAACAAAUAUUAAAAUGUUCAGAAUAUCUUAAAGAGCAGAGUUGGUGCUUUUUAUUGUUGUUUUAUAACUUUGCUUUAAUCAAUUUUUUAUCCAUUGACUCCCUUGCAAGUUCCGACCAAUAUAAUUAGCAGUAUCUAAAUUAGUUAUCACUCAAAAUUACUUUCUUCUUGGAAAACCAGUUUUAUUUUAAAAUUAUAGGUGUUGCCAUAGGCUCUGUUAGACCUAUAUGCAAGGGCACAUUUUAAGUAGAUAAUAAGUUAAUCCUAAUUAAAAAAAAAUAUUCUUCCCUCCAUAAAAUGUUAAGAUUUGUGAAUGACCUUAUUUUCCUUUUGGUAGACAUAUUGUGACAAUCAACUGCUUUUCAUCCAUAUACGUACUCUUCACCUUCCAUUGAAACAUUAUAUUGUUCAGCUAAGCUCUUACAUAAACUAAACAUAUGUCUUAAUAGUCAGGUUUAUCUUCACUGCAGAUAUGAUAGAGAGCAGAGAAGCCAACAUUUCCAAAGAGUGCCUAUUUUCGACCCUGUUAUUUGCACACUGUCAUCAGUAAGUAAGACUGUGUCUUCAGUAGUUGCCAAACACCAUCAAUUCCUGUUAAUUUCAAGGCAAAGAGCAAUAUACCAGUACAUCUGGUAAAACAUCAGCCAGCUCACAGCAGCAUGAGAUGAGAAUGGAGAUGCUAAGAUGCCACAUCUCCCAGAUGUGGCUUUGGACCCAAGACCUACCCAAGGUGUCUGGUGCGCUUAGGUAACCCAGCUAAGCCACUUCAAAGGCACCAAACUUAGUGAAAACAAGUCCACAAGAUUGUUAUCUGGCUUUGAGAAUGUUGGCCCUGAUGGAAUUUUUUAGGUACCUAUGUUUGGAAAUACUGCCAGGAGAUUUUAUACAUUCUCAUAAUUGUUCAAGCCAUUGAGAGACAUGCAUGCUCAACAUUACUGCAAAAAACUGUUUGUGGAUCUGCACUGAGCAGAUUACAGGAACAGGCUUUAGUUCUUAAUCUCCAGUUAUUUUAAAUUGAUGGGUCAAUUGCUGAGGUAUCUCCAGAGGGGACGCCUUCAACACGGGAGCGGGGGGAAGCU